UACGUAGGGUGCGAGCGUUGUCCGGAAUUACUGGGCGUAAAGAGCUCGUAGGUGGUUUGUCGCGUUGUUCGUGAAAACUCACAGCUUAACUGUGGGCGUGCGGGCGAUACGGGCAGACUGGAGUACUGCAGGGGAGACUGGAAUUCCUGGUGUAGCGGUGGAAUGCGCAGAUAUCAGGAGGAACACCGGUGGCGAAGGCAGGUCUCUGGGCAUUAACUGACGCUGAGGAGCGAAAGCAUGGGGAGCGAACAGG
rnacentral:rRNA from 1 species